CCUACGGGAGGCAGCAGUAGGGAAUAUUGCUCAAUGGGGGAAACCCUGAAGCAGCAACGCCGCUUGGAGUCUUCCUUUUUUCUUCUUUUCCCCUCCUUUUUUUCUCUCCUCUUAUCACUGUAUCUAACGAAUAAGCACCGGCUAACUCCGUGCCAGCAGCCGCGGUAAUACGGAGGGUGCAAGCGUUACUCUGAAUCACUGGGCGUAAAGAGCGCGUAGGCGGGAUAGCAAGUCAGAUGUGAAAUCCUAUGGCUUAACCAUAGAACUGCAGUUGAAACUGUUAUUCUAGAGUAUGGGAGAGGUAGGUGGAAUUCUUGGUGUAGGGGUAAAAUGCGUAGAGAUCAAGAGGAAUACUCAUUGCGAAGGCGACCUGCUAGAACAUAACUGACGCUGAUGCGCGAAAGCGUGGGGAGCAAACAGGAGGAGAGAAAAAAGGAGGC
rnacentral:rRNA from 1 species